GUGGAAAGGUGAAGGCUCAAGGAAGUGGAAACUUGGACAAAACGAUGGAAUCUUUGUUCAGUUUUAGUGUCCGUCUAUUCGAAAUGUUUGGUUCAUUCCUAGCUCGAAAGAAAAAGGGGCAGGCCUUAUGCAGGGAGCCUCAAGCUCUAGAUAUCGGUGCACAUGAGAUUCUCCAUUCAAUUCAGGCAUUCACAAGAUACUUCCUAGCGUUCCGUGGUACAUGGAACAUCUCCUUCAUCAGACCUCUCUGUUGGUUCCUUAACGGUCAUUGAUCUCAUCAGAACAGUGCAGCUUAACCUUUCUAAACUGCGGCAGGAUGUGUACUCUGCAGCUUACAUGUCUUGCAACCUUGGCUAACAUGGUAGCUCAUACCCAUCAUCUUAGUGCAUAUGCCUCUGCGAGGCUUGUCAGCCUUUUCUAUACAUGCUUUCUCGAAAGUAUAACAAGUUACAGGUGAUAAAAGCUGCAUAGUAUCAAAAUAAGCUUGUCAAGAGCGGAUGAUAGCGUUUCAGAAGAUUUGGCAGCAGAGCUGCAAAUCUUUUACUGAUUUCUUGAGGCUUGUCCUUGAUAUAUUAAAUGCAAUUUUGACGUGCGCGUUGCCGAGAUUGUCUAUGCAAUCAUGCAUCGGCAAGAAGUGUUCCGACCUUUCAAGAAUCAUCCGCGAUUUCAUGAGCUAGCCGAAAAUAUUUACACUCUCUUAGACUUACUUCAAUAGCCUCAAAGAUCGGAUCGAGAAUGGUCAGUGCAGAAAGUUCUCCAGUUCAUCAUUCACAAUUGUCGGUCUUGGCGAGGCGAAGGAAUGAAUGAAUGAAGAUGUUUUACUCAACUUCACUUUUCAUAUGAAAAGUGAUCCACCCGUAAGAGUUCUUUAGUCCAUACGUCUGGCAACUAGCUUUUUCCCGAUGGUAACACGCUUUCAAUCUUUCAUCACCAUGUAUAAAAGAAGUGCACAUAUCUCAUUCCUCUUUCACCGGAGUGGAUUCCAGUUUUAAUCCGGACGCCAUCAACUUAUUCCCAGUGUCACACCAAGUUGAAUAUUUGCAGGAACAGACGGAAAGGGAGAAGAAGGGAAAGAGAAGAAAGUACCAAGACUUGAUCGAGCAGAGUAUAUUUCGAUAUAGGAGAAUUUGGGAGGGGGCGUAUAACGUAUGUAUAUAUAUUCAUACGGUUAGGGUUCACAUAAGUUAAUUUAAUGUUCUUAUCAUACUGUUUACACUUAAAACGGGACCCAAAACCAAUCUGCUAAGUCUU